ensembl:lncRNA
UCGUAAUAUUAAUUUUAAUUGAAUGACAGAGCAAUAGGAAAGAAGAGUACAGUCCAGAGGUGGCGUCCCGGGUCUUCCGGACAUGGUCUCUGCCAAGAGCUCCAGGUUGGGCUGUGCUGGGAGCCCCUUCCCCAGCCAACACCUGGCAGGGGGAGUCCAGCAGCACUCAGGGGCAGUCCUGGCAGCACCAAGAAAGGCCUGUUAUUCACAGCCAAACAGCAGGAAGAGGUUCCCCACGUCCACUGGGCAAAUGCGGAAGGUGAGGUCAGGCGAGGGCAGGACCCAUCCAGGAAACCCUCUGGCUGUGAAAAGAGCCCCAAGCAUGGAUCCAACACCACUCUCUACUGCUGGGGAACUCACUGGGGCACGCUGUUCCCUAGGUUGAAAACAAAGGAAUUUCGGUCUCACUGGCAACCCUUAGAAUUUCACGUACUCUGUCUACUGGGUUGGCAGAACCUCCCAGGCAAGUGGCUGAUUUUGACAGGAUGUGAUGUAGCUACCUAGAUGGCAGUGGACAUGGCUGGCGGUCAGCGACAUGUGAGAAUGGAUCCAGAGGUCCAAUGCGGAAAGCAGAUAAAGAACUCACUUGGUUCAAGUCAAAGGUGGUGUAACCACCGUGCACUACAGCUGGGUAGCAGUUCAAAGGAAAGAGGUGGGUGAUGCGGACUGCGCCCCUGGGAGAGACUACAUAGGCUGGGUAAUACUCUUUAUCACAGGUCUAUAGACUGUGCCUGUGUCUGCGUACACGUGCACAAAUGAAUUAGAAAGAUCUGCAAAGACGUGUUCCAAAGCGAUGACAAAUGUUACACAGAGACAAUGAAGAGCCCAGCACUGGAGACGGAGAACUGCAGGAUGUUUGGCCCUAUUGGGAAAGCUCUUUUUCUGCCCCAAGACAGAUGCGUUCUCUUAGUAUUUGUGUAACGAAAGAUUGACAUUUAUAAAAAUGAGAAAGCAAACAGAAUUUUAAUGACUCCCCUACAGGUUUGAGUGCCUACGAUGUGCUGGCCCACUGCAGGGUGAAAAGCACAGCCCCUGUCCACCUUACAGUCUGACCAUGGGCAGCGGUGGCUCGCUGGGUGAGCAGGAUGAGGCAUGUUAGUGUGUGUCGCUCAAACAAGAAAGUAGAGCAGAGGAGGGAAAUCAAGAAAGUGCCCUCCAUGCUCCACUGGAGACCCGAGGCCAGAACAGUGCCCCAGGAAGUCCUCCCAGGGCUCCGCUGAGGGGCGGGAGUCCUUUGUCAUUUUAAAGGCGGCCCCACUGCCUCUGACUUCAGUCUUCCAAGGAACGUGACAGCACAAAGAACAGCUUGCGGUUCCCAGGGUUCCCAGGCAUCUGACCCCGCAACAGGGAGGUGGUUUUGUUGCUCUUGAAGGGCAUCAGCUGCUUGCCUGUUUUUAUCAGUACAUAUGGUUUACUCUGCUAGGCUACAAACGGCCUCCACCAAAACUGCUGUUUUGAUUUGGGUUUCUAAAAAUAACUCCUGGGAAGCCUGCAGUGUGAGAGGAAGAUGCUGUACACAGCUCCGGGAGGAAAAGUACGAAGCAUUUGAUCUGAAUUACCUAAGGGCUGAAACUGAGUGCAAGUAUCUAUCUCCUUGCAGCAACUGCCAUAUAAUUAGCCAUCCUAAUAGAAUGCUUUCAAAGCCUAGGCAGUCCAACAAGUAAGUUUAAUUGAAAAUAAAAUUUCCAGACCAACUGUUUUGUCAAAACCACAUUAAAUGAAGAUAGCUCAGCAAUGACUGAAGCCCCAGGGAGAAGUGUGAUGUGGACGGAGACGGGCUGGGAAGGAGGGAGGGGUACACAGAAAAAAUCGGUGGCGAUUUUCUGAGCUCUCCGCUCCAGUUCCUGCGUCUGCACAGUGCUGGGGGAAGAGCAUCCAAUUCGCUCUGGGUCUGUAUGACGGCUGCCUUUGCCUCUUGUGUAGGUGCUACAAUCUCCAGGAGAGGAAAAGCCAGGAUCAGACUCUCAGGCAUGGGGGGAAGAGAAGAGAAAGACGAUGCUGGCCACGUGACCCAGCUGCUGGCAGCACAGGGCGCGUUUGUUCCGCUGGAGGAGGAGCACGCUUACCCAAGGGCUCCCAGAGCCACAGGCUGGGACUGCCUUAACAUGUGGAAGUCCACCUUGGCUGCUUCCCCGCUGUGUGGCUUCUGCUGAGUCAGUCAGCAUCUCUGAGUGGUGCGGUGCUUACCCUGGUCCAUUUAACUCAGGUGAAAGAGGGCCGUCUCUUCCAGGAGAUUCUGAAAGCCCGGACUCUAGACCUUCCAUGACUCCAUGGAGUUGACAGGGCGGCUCACGCUGGGUGUCCCCAUGAAUGGAGAUUAGGAAGCAGCCGGAGGUGGCAGAUCUGCCCUCUGGGGCAGAGCACCCCUGACAGCACUCGCCUGUGGCUCCUUCUCACACCCUUGCUGCGAGGAAACACAAUGCACCUGACUUUAGUGACACGGAGGUGGAGACUCGGCAGCGCUGGGUGGUGGAUCAGGAAACAGUGCCGCCUUUCCAUCCCAGUAGAUGCCCUCUCUCCACAGCGGUCACGAUGUCCCCGCCCCUUCUGGAAAUGACCUGGGUGUUGCAAGCACCAUGCGGUGUCCCUGUGGUCGGUGGCUGGAGUCUUUACAAAAAAGCACAUCUGAGUCCAGCCGGACAUUUAUUCUCCUGCUCCGCGGAGUCACAGGGUCAUUUUCUUGCACCCCAGCUCCUACUGGAGAUGGCUAGUUGGGUAGUGAGACAUCAGCUCUGGACUCAGAUGCCGAGGGCUCAAGGGACUGUCCUGCUGCACAGAGCUAAGCUGACUCCUCCCACUUCCUUGGUUUCUUCAUUCUAAAAGCUGGCAGAGGGCAACUAAUACAUAUCACGUGCUACUCCAAGCACCCUGUACUACCUCUGCUCCUGAUGUCUGAAAGCAAAAGUCACGGUGCACAGAAGUAAGUACUCACUACAUCUUAGGCGUCAUUUGAAACUGAGUUUCUUUGGUGAGCAGAAACCCACGGCAUCCUUGGGGCUGGUGGGGAGGGGAGGAGCUGUGUGAGGAGAUCUGACCCUGACAGGUGCCCACCCGCCUGUCCUCGGCCGCUGCUCUGCACUGCAGUCGGGCAGCGGACAGCGCCGCAGAGCUCCCCCUCUGCACCUUCCGCUGCUCUCUGUCCUGGGGACGCUGCAGGAAAUCUAACUGAGGCAGUUGCGGGGGAACUGCUCCGGCACCUGCCUGGCUGUUUCCAAAGUGAGUGGGUGAUGUAACCCCAGGGCGGUGGACACACUGCACGGGCUGGUGCACUGCCGUAGGGCUUGAUCCAGCAAGUCUGGAGGGACUGUGUGCAUUCACACAUUCUCCAAAGCAAGACCCCGCUGGCCACUGCUGUCUUCUCCAUACCAUAUUCUCAGUUCUGCUCAGCUGAGGCAGACACAGACGUGUUCAAAAGGAGCACACGGCAAGGGAAGCAUCAGCCUUGGCCUGAACAGCCCUGGGAAUCCUGUCAUCUCUGCCAGGGACUGGCCAGGGAGCCUUGGCUCAGCCUGGUCAAUGACACACAGGAGUCUACUGGGGAUCUCUGGGGAACCUUCUUUCCUGACGGAAGACAGAGCCAACAUGUGAGGAGUCCUUUUCCUACCCAAUAUUUCUGUCCCUCGAAGUGAAGGGGUUGCGAGGUGAGGUCUACCUAGGAAAUGCUAACCUGGCGGCAUGAAGUAGUGCUAGUGACCGAACACAUCCUUCCUUCUGAUAAUCUGAGUCACAUUGAGCUGGGUGGUCUGGAGGAAACAGAAGCCCUGAGCACGGCUGGUGGAAGUGGAUGCUGUCACGCUCACUCUGGCAAACAACCUGGCCAUACUUCUGAAAUUACGCACAUGCGUGCGCUCUGACCCAGCCUCGGUGCUCGGUGUGCAACAGAGGCUCCCAGAGUCCACGUGGGGCCAGGGGAAGGGUGCAUCACAAAGCAGCUGCCCACGGAGAGCAAUGGACAGGCAGCCCGCAGGCAAAGCCCAGCCAGUGUGCCGAGCCCACAGUGCGUGCUGUGGCCCGAAUGUGCUUGCGUGCUUAGUCCCUGGUGUGGCGACAUGAAGCACGGGGGCCUCCUGGGAGGUCACUAGGGUG